AUGGAGUUUGGGCUGAGCUGGGUUUUCCUUGUUGCUAUUUUAAAAGGUGUCCAGUGUGAGGUGCAGCUGGUGGAGUCUGGGGGAGGUGUGGUACGGCCUGGGGGGUCCCUGAGACUCUCCUUUGCAGCCUCUGGAUUCACCUUUGAUGAUUAUGGCAUGAGCUGGGUCCGCCAAGCUCCAGGGAAGGGGCUGGAGUGGGUCUCUGGUAUUAAUUGGAAUGGUGGUAGCACAGGUUAUGCAGACUCUGUGAAGGGCCGAUUCACCAUCUCCAGAGACAACGCCAAGAACUCCCUGUAUCUGCAAAUGAACAGUCUGAGAGCCGAGGACACGGCCUUGUAUCACUGUGCGAGAGA